rnacentral:rRNA from 1 species
CCUACGGGAGGCAGCAGUAAGGAAUAUUGGUCAAUGGAGGCAACUCUGAACCAGCCAUGCCGCGUGCAGGAAGAAGGCCCUAUGGGUCGUAAACUGCUUUUGUACCAGAGAAAACCCGAGUACGUGUACUCGGUUGAUAGUAUGGUAAGAAUAAGCAUCGGCUAACUUCGUGCCAGCAGCCGCGGUAAGACGAAGGAUGCAAGCGUUAUCCGGAUUCAUUGGGUUUAAAGGGUGCGUAGGCGGACUGAUAAGUCAGUGGUGAAAUCUCUCGGCUUAACCGAGAAACUGCCAUUGAUACUGUUAGUCUAGAGUAUAGAUGACGUUGGCGGAAUAUGACAUGUAGUGGUGAAAUACUUAGAUAUGUCAUAGAACACCGAUUGCGAAGGCAGCUAACGAAACUAUAACUGACGCUGAGGCACGAAAGUGCGGGGAUCAAACAGGAUUAGAUACCCUGGUAGUCCGCACCGUAAACGAUGAUUACUCGUUGUUGGCAAAUUAUGACCGUCAGCGACCGACGACGAAGACGAGUAAGUAAUACCACCGUACGGGGAGGUACGGCCCGGCCGAACCGGUACGAACGUACGAACGUAGUAAGUUAGUACGGACGUGAGACGNGCCGACGGACGACGACGAGGGAGGAGG